GACGAACGCUGGCGGCGUGCUUAACACAUGCAAGUCGAACGCUGAAGACCUGGCUUUUGUUGGGUUGGAUGAGUGGCGAACGGGUGAGUAACACGUGAGUAACCUGCCCUCUUCUUUGGGAUAACGCCCGGAAACGGGUGCUAAUACUGGAUAUUCACUGGCCUUCGCAUGGGGGUUGGUGGAAAGGUUUGUUCUGGUGGGGGAUGGGCUCGCGGCCUAUCAGCUUGUUGGUGGGGUGAUGGCCUACCAAGGCUUUGACGGGUAGCCGGCCUGAGAGGGUGACCGGUCACAUUGGGACUGAGAUACGGCCCAGACUCCUACGGGAGGCAGCAGUGGGGAAUAUUACACAAUGGGCGAAAGCCUGAUGCAGCGACGCCGCGUGAGGGAUGGAGGCCUUCGGGUUGUAAACCUCUUUCGCUCAUGGUCAAGCCGCAACUGUGGGUUGUGGUGAGGGUAGUGGGUAAAGAAGCGCCGGCUAACUACGUG
rnacentral:rRNA from 1 species